CCUACGGGAGGCAGCAGUAGGGAAUUUUCCACAAUGGGCGAAAGCCUGAUGGAGCAACGCCGCGUGCAGGAUGAAGGCCUUCGGGUCGUAAACUGCUUUUAUUUGUGACGAUUAUGACAGUAGCAAAUGAAUAAGGAUCGGCUAACUACGUGCCAGCAGCCGCGGUCAUACGUAGGAUCCGAGCGUUAUCCGGAAUUACUGGGCGUAAAGAGUUGCGUAGGUGGUUUGUUAAGCGAGCAGUGAAAUCUUGGGGCUCAACCUCAAGGCUAUUGCUUGAACUGGCAGACUAGAGUUCGAUAGAGGUCACUGGAAUUCCAAGUGUAGGAGUGAAAUCCGUAGAUAUUUGGAGGAACACCGAUGGCGUAGGCAGGUGACUGGAUCGACACUGACACUGAGGCACGAAAGCGUGGGGAGCAAACGGGAUUAGAUACCCUGGUAGU
rnacentral:rRNA from 1 species